rnacentral:misc_RNA from 1 species
CUUUGGGUCUGUAGCUCAGGUGGUUAGAGCGCACCCCUGAUAAGGGUGAGGUCGGUGGUUCGAGUCCUCCCAGACCCACCACUCUGAAUGUAUCGCACACGAAGAAUUUGAAUGAUUCGGCGCUGAGGCCGGGUCGUGUUCUUUAAUAAUUAGUGAUGUAGCGAACGUUUGAGAACAAUACUCUCGACGUGUCGUUGUGGCUAAGGCGGGGACUUCGAGUCCCUAAAAUUGAGUCGUUAUAGUUCGCGUCCGGGCUUUGUACCCCUGGGCUGAAUAUGACCUUGAGGC